AAGGGGACUGGAGCCGGAUUACCCGACCUCCUUUGCAAUACUCAAUAAAUAACAACACCAGAAGAAAUAUCUCAUAUCACUUCAUGCCAGGUCUUGUUGUGGGGUUAAAAAAAGGCCUUGAACGCAGAUAUUGAAGUGUGAGAAACACCCUUCUUGAAACUGCAGUGUGGAAAUAAGCUCUUCGCCAAGGUCUUUCAGAUCGACUCUUCGAAGGGUUAGUGAGAACACGGUGGAAGCCUUUCUCCGCAAGCGAUGAACAGCUGAAUUUCCCGUGAAGCUAACAUGGAGCAAAUAGAAGAGCCACAAUGGAUCUACUCGUUUGCUGACAGUUCCAGAUUGCUGACCAUUGUUAUUUCAAUUUUCCUGAUCGUGUACGGCAGCUUCAGGUGUGUUUUUCUUUCGAUUUCCUUUGAUGAACGUGCAUGAGCUUUCUGAUGUGCGUGACCUGUUUUUGUCUCCAAAAGACACGCUCUAGGUUGUUUUACAGAAUGUGACCAGCUAAAUGAAACCGGAUCUAAAAUGUGUUAGAGAUUGCAUUCUAAGUUAAAACUAUCAUUGUUCCCCGAAAGGAGAACUGAUUUUCUGUUUUCAAUAUUUUAUUGAAUCAUAAUUGACAUUCGAUUCCAUCGUCGUUGGCAAUUUCAAUAUUUUUCUGCGAUUAGUCCUAUAGAGCCUUUUGCUUUUUGAUUUAUUUUCAUGCAACGAAAUAUGAGUUACAUAAUAAACCUGAAUUUUCGAUAUUAUCAGUUUUCAUCUACAAUCGCCAAUGUCAGUUUCGUGCAGUAUUGUCUUUAAUUUUAACAUUAGCAUCUAAUAUACAUGUAAAAUACAGCAUAACUGAUUGAACGAAAAAAUUCCCCUUUAAGCCUGAUGAAUUUUUUAUGACUUGUGAGCAAGGUAAGUUGUAAGCUCCUCCUGACAUGGAUCUCCAUCUAUCCAAGUACAAGUUUCUUUUUGUACUAGUAACAUAACAGAAUAUUAAAUAUUGUCCAACACUUAUCUCAGGUGGCAAACAAUUAUGUCCUCACACCAGCUCAGGAUGUUUCUUUGUAAAUUAUUUCUUUAUGAGGGGUGUUCAAAUAAUGGAAUCUCAGUAGUUUUCUUUAUAUUCAAUAUUCGUUGAGCACAAGUCAUUGCAGCAAAGCGAUAU